rnacentral:rRNA from 1 species
UGCAGAGGUCUCAAGCGUUGUUCGGAAUCACUGGGCGUAAAGGGUGCGUAGGCCGCACGGUAAGUCAGAGGUGAAAUCCCGGAGCUCAACUCCGGAAUGGCCUCCGAUACUGCCGUGCUCGAGGACUGGAGAGGAGUCUGGAAUUCACAGUGGAGCAGUGAAAUGCGUGGAUAUUGUGAGGAACACUAGUGGCGAAGGCGAGACUCUGGACAGUUCCUGACGCUGAGGCACGAAGGCCAGGGGAGCAAACGGG